rnacentral:rRNA from 1 species
UUAAGCGACUAAGCGUACACGGUGGAUGCCCUGGCAGUCAGAGGCGAUGAAGGACGUGCUAAUCUGCGAAAAGCGUCGGUAAGGUGAUAUGAACCGUUACAGCCGGCGAUGUCCGAAUGGGGAAACCCAGUGCAAUUCGUUGCACUAUCGUUAACUGAAUACAUAGGUUAACGAGGCGAACCGGGGGAACUGAAACAUCUAAGUACCCCGAGGAAAAGAAAUCAACCGAGAUUCCCCCAGUAGCGGCGAGCGAACGGGGAGCAGCCCAGAGUCUGAAUCAGCUUGUGUGUUAGUGGAACGGUCUGGAAAGUCCGACGGUACAGGGUGAUAGUCCCGUACACCAAAAUGCACAGGNCACUAUCGUUAACUGAAUACAUAGGUUAACGAGGCGAACCGGGGGAACUGAAACAUCUAAGUACCCCGAGGAAAAGAAAUCAACCGAGAUUCCCCCAGUAGCGGCGAGCGAACGGGGAGCAGCCCAGAGUCUGAAUCAGCUUGUGUGUUAGUGGAACGGUCUGGAAAGUCCGACGGUACAGGGUGAUAGUCCCGUACACCAAAAUGCACAGGCUGUGAACUCGAAGAGUAGGGCGGGACACGUGGUAUCCUGUCUGAAUAUGGGGGGACCAUCCUCCAAGGCUAAAUACUCCUGACUGACCGAUAGUGAACCAGUACCGUGAGGGAAAGGCGAAAAGAACCCCGGCGAGGGGAGUGAAAAAGAACCUGAAACCGUGUACGUACAAGCAGUGGGAGCACCUUCGGGUGUGACUGCGUACCUUUUGUAUAAUGGGUCAGCGACUUAUAUUCUGUAGCAAGGUUAACCGUAUAGGGGAGCCGCAGGGAAACCGAGUCUUAACUGGGCGUUAAGUUGCAGGGUAUAGACCCGAAACCCGGUGAUCUAGCCAUGGGCAGGUUGAAGGUUGGGUAACACUAACUGGAGGACCGAACCGACUAAUGUUGAAAAAUUAGCGGAUGACUUGUGGCUGGGGGUGAAAGGCCAAUCAAACCGGGAGAUAGCUGGUUCUCCCCGAAAGCUAUUUAGGUAGCGCCUCGUGAAUUCAUCUUCGGGGGUAGAGCACUGUUUCGGCUAGGGGGUCAUCCCGACUUACCAACCCGAUGCAAACUACGAAUACCGAAGAAUGUUAUCACGGGAGACACACGGCGGGUGCUAACGUCCGUCGUGAAGAGGGAAACAACCCAGACCGCCAGCUAAGGUCCCAAAGUCAUGGUUAAGUGGGAAACGAUGUGGGAAGGCACAGACAGCCAGGAUGUUGGCUUAGAAGCAGCCAUCAUUUAAAGAAAGCGUAAUAGCUCACUGGUCGAGUCGGCCUGCGCGGAAGAUGUAACGGGGCUAAACCAUGCACCGAAGCUGCGGCAGCGACACUAUGUGUUGUUGGGUAGGGGAGCGUUCUGUAAGCCUGCGAAGGUGACCUGUGAGGGUUGCUGGAGGUAUCAGAAGUGCGAAUGCUGACAUAAGUAACGAUAAAGCGGGUGAAAAGCCCGCUCGCCGGAAGACCAAGGGUUCCUGUCCAACGUUAAUCGGGGCAGGGUGAGUCGACCCCUAAGGCGAGGCCGAAAGGCGUAGUCGAUGGGAAACAGGUUAAUAUUCCUGUACUUGGUGUUACUGCGAAGGGGGGACGGAGAAGGCUAUGUUAGCCGGGCGACGGUUGUCCCGGUUUAAGCAUGUAGGCUGGUUAUCCAGGCAAAUCCGGAUAAUCAAGGCUGAGGUGUGAUGACGAGGCACUACGGUGCUGAAGUAACAAAUGCCCUGCUUCCAGGAAAAGCCUCUAAGCAUCAGGUAACAUCAAAUCGUACCCCAAACCGACACAGGUGGUCAGGUAGAGAAUACCAAGGCGCUUGAGAGAACUCGGGUGAAGGAACUAGGCAAAAUGGUGCCGUAACUUCGGGAGAAGGCACGCUGGUGUGUAGGUGAAGUCCCUGCGGAUGGAGCUGAGACCAGUCGAAGAUACCAGCUGGCUGCAACUGUUUAUUAAAAACACAGCACUGUGCAAACACGAAAGUGGACGUAUACGGUGUGACGCCUGCCCGGUGCCGGAAGGUUAAUUGAUGGGGUUAUCCGUAAGGAGAAGCUCUUGAUCGAAGCCCCGGUAAACGGCGGCCGUAACUAUAACGGUCCUAAGGUAGCGAAAUUCCUUGUCGGGUAAGUUCCGACCUGCACGAAUGGCGUAAUGAUGGCCAGGCUGUCUCCACCCGAGACUCAGUGAAAUUGAACUCGCUGUGAAGAUGCAGUGUACCCGCGGCAAGACGGAAAGACCCCGUGAACCUUUACUAUAGCUUGACACUGAACAUUGAGCCUUGAUGUGUAGGAUAGGUGGGAGGCUUUGAAGCGUGGACGCCAGUCUGCGUGGAGCCAACCUUGAAAUACCACCCUUUAAUGUUUGAUGUUCUAACGUUGGCCCCUUACCGGGGUUGCGGACAGUGUCUGGUGGGUAGUUUGACUGGGGCGGUCUCCUCCCAAAGCGUAACGGAGGAGCACGAAGGUUAGCUAAUCCUGGUCGGACAUCAGGAGGUUAGUGCAAUGGCAUAAGCUAGCUUGACUGCGAGCGUGACGGCGCGAGCAGGUGCGAAAGCAGGUCAUAGUGAUCCGGUGGUUCUGAAUGGAAGGGCCAUCGCUCAACGGAUAAAAGGUACUCCGGGGAUAACAGGCUGAUACCGCCCAAGAGUUCAUAUCGACGGCGGUGUUUGGCACCUCGAUGUCGGCUCAUCACAUCCUGGGGCUGAAGUAGGUCCCAAGGGUAUGGCUGUUCGCCAUUUAAAGUGGUACGCGAGCUGGGUUUAGAACGUCGUGAGACAGUUCGGUCCCUAUCUGCCGUGGGCGCUGGAGAAUUGAGGGGGGCUGCUCCUAGUACGAGAGGACCGGAGUGGACGCAUCACUGGUGUUCGGGUUGUCAUGCCAAUGGCACUGCCCGGUAGCUAAAUGCGGAAGAGAUAAGUGCUGAAAGCAUCUAAGCACGAAACUUGCCCCGAGAUGAGUUCUCCCUGAGACUUUAAGUCUCCUGAAGGAACGUUAAAGACGAUGACGUUGAUAGGCCGGGUGUGUAAGCGCAGCGAUGCGUUGAGCUAACCGGUACUAAUGAACCGUGAGGCUUAACCUU